rnacentral:sRNA from 1 species
CAAUGAAAUAUCGCUUCGCGAUGUGAAAUAUCCCGCUUCGCGGGAUGUGAAAUAUUUGCCUUCGGCAAAUGUGAAAUGUUCG